GACGAACGCUGGCGGCAUGCUUAACACAUGCAAGUGGAGCGACGAACCCUUACGGGGGCAAAGCCGCGAACGGGUGAGUAACACGUGGGCAACCUGCCCCGAUGACUGGAAUAACUCGAAGAAAUUCGAGCUAAUACCGGAUGUGCCAUUUCCUCAUCAGGGGGACUGGUAAAGGAGCUUCGGCUAUCCGCAUUGGGAGGGGCCUGCGCAGCAUUAGCUAGUUGGUGGGGUAAAGGCCUACCAAGGCUACGAUGCUUAGCUGGUCUGAGAGGACGAUCAGCCACACUGGAACUGAGACACGGUCCAGACUCCUACGGGUGGCUG
rnacentral:rRNA from 1 species